rnacentral:lncRNA from 1 species
GCAAUGGAUGGAUGACUCACCUCUCAUAGGAAUGAUAGAACUUGGAUCAUCUUGUCAAUCACAGAGCUUGGUGGCCUUCUACAAAUGUUUGUGGAAUGAAUAAGUGAGAGAAUGAGAGAUUAAUAAAGCCAAUACUAUCACCAGUCCAACGAAGAGCUGCAACUGAAAAAAAAGUCUGACAAAAAAUGGCUAGUUCAAGUAGCAGUUUAUCCCAGACACGCAUCCGUGGAUAGGAGGGAGCUACACGCUUUCCUGAUAAUCUGGUUUCAUAUGAAGACAAAGGUUAAAGUAGGACAGACGAGUGAUACUCUACCAAAGAUUUUGAGUAUUCUUAACAUUCCCAUUUUUCCACUAAGAGCAGGACAAAGGCAGCCCACAUAGAACCAAUUGGGUUCCAUUCAUCAAGCAAGGCAGGCAUGUGAGAUGUGGAACAGCAAGUAGACUUCAUGCUUCACUGCAACUCCAAUCAUUUGGAAGCAAAUAUCUAGACAUUUUGUAAGAAUUGUUCAUCUAAGCUCAGCAGGAACAAGUGCCUCUAUUGGUUAGCAAUGUUUACCACAUACAUGGAUGAGGAGUAGCAGAGGUCACUCAAGGUACU